AGGGGCUUAGGAUAGAGUUUAGACCAGAGGCCUUCAAAGCCUUAAGCGGGAGUUAAAAUCCCCCAGCCCCUG
rnacentral:tRNA from 1 species